rnacentral:misc_RNA from 1 species
GAAUCUGGGAAAGGUUCUUCUGAAAAGGACUUCUUGGAAGAUUUAUGGGAUAGGAUACAGGUUCUAUCCAGCACUGGAUGGAAACUUGAUAGUGUUCCAAGACCUCACCUCUCAUUUGAAGCUCAGCUGGUUGCUGGAAAAUCUCAUGAGUUUGGGCCCAUUAAUGCUCCUGACCAGCCUGAGCCCCUUUCACAACUUUCUGGGGUACCAUAUGGUAAACAGAAGCAC